rnacentral:rRNA from 1 species
GAUAAACGCUGGCGGUGUACAUAAGACAUGCAAGUCGAACGGGAGAAACUAAGAUGGAUUUAUUCAACUUAGCAGACACCGUGGCGGAUGGGUGAGUAACACGUAAGCAACCUGCCUAAAAGAGGGGAAUAACAGAGAGAAAUUUCUGAUAAUACCGCAUAUACCAAAGUAUCGCAUGGUACAAUUGGGAAAGACUUAUCACUUUUAGAUGGGCUUGCGUCUGAUUAGCUAGUUGGUGAGAUAACAGCUCACCAAGGCGACGAUCAGUAGCCGGAUUGAGAGGUUGAACGGCCACAUUGGGACUGAGACACGGCCCAGACUCCUACGGGAGGCAGCAGUCGGGAAUAUUGCACAAUGGAGGAAACUCUGAUGCAGUGACACCGCGUAUAGGAAGAAGGCCUUAGGGUUGUAAGCUAUUGUCGUGUGAGAAGAAAAUGACUAUCACAGGAGGAAGCCCUGGCUAAAUAUGUGCCAGCAGCCGCGGUAAUACAUAUGGGGCGAGCGUUAUCCGGAUUUAUUGGGUGUAAAGGGUUCGUAGGCGGGAAAGUAAGUCAGUAUGUGAAAUCCCUCGGCUCAACCGAGGAACUGCAAUUGAAACUAUUUUUCUUGAGUACUGGAGGGGAAAGUGGAAUUCUUAGUGUAGCGGUGAAAUGCGUAGAUAUUAGGAAGAACACCAGUGGCGAAGGCGACUUUCUGGACAGUAACUGACGCUGAGGAACGAAAGUGUGGGGAGCAAACAGGAUUAGAUACCCUGGUAGUCCACACUGUAAACGAUGGAUACUAGGGGUUGGCAUAGGAAAUGUCGGUCCCGCAGUUAACGCAUUAAGUAUCCCACCUGGGGAGUACGACCGCAAGGUUAAAACUCAAAGGAAUUGACGGGGGCCCGCACAAGCAGUGGGGUAUGUGGUUUAAUUCGACGCAACGCGAAGAACCUUACCAGGGCUUGACAUGAUUAGGAAUAUAUAAGAGAUUAUAUAGCUCUACGGAGUCUAAUUACAGGUGGUGCAUGGUUGUCGUCAGCUCGUGUCGUGAGAUGUUGGGUUAAGUCCCUAAACGAGCGCAACCCUUAUCGCUAGUUGCUAACAUUAAGUUGAGGACUCUAGUGAGACUGCCGUUUAUUAAAACGGAGGAAGGAGAGGAUGACGUCAAAUCAUCAUGCCCUUUAUGUCCUGGGCUACACACGUACUACAAUGGGUAGGACAAAGGGAAGCAACGGAGUGAUCCUGAGCAAAACCCAAAACCUAUUCACAGUUCGGAUUGAAGGCUGAAGUUCGCCUUCAUGAAGCCGGAAUUGCUAGUAAUGGCAGGUCAGCAUACUGCCGUGAAUACGUUCCCGGGCCU